ACUUGCAGUUCCCACGGCGCACAGCCGCAAGCCACUCCGAAGGUUUCAUUGCCGAGUUGGGGGUGGCGUGUGCAAGGGUGGACUGAUUCCCACCGCGCUGGACGAAGCUUCAGGGGUGGCCGCAGCCAUCCUCCAAGUCCCACUUCUCUUAUUUCACCUUCUCUGUCUCUACCCAGCUCCUAGAGGCAGGAUGAGCACUGCUGGGUCCCAAACCCUCUCCUCAGGAGCCAGAGCUGCGGGGAGUGGAAAGUCGACUGGCAAGAACACACACGGAAAAAUGGGCAGAUGCAUCUGUCAAGGGGGCUGGGGGAAGGGCGCAUGCAAGAACUAAACCUGCAACUUGCACAGCACGGGGUGAGCACCGGGCAGGGAAGGGGUCACAAAAGUUUUCAGACUAUUGCACAGCAGCCGGCUGAAGGAGCAAAGAGGGUCGACUCUAUCUCUCCAGGCGGUCUCUCUAAGAGUCUGCGCAAAAGGGAUCAGGGGGCUUAGACAGGCACAGCUUAGAAGUGGGGUAACAGUUCUCCUCUACUUGUUCCUUGGAGGGACGGCCUAUGUACCUGGGCAGAGGGAUGAUCCCGCGCUCUGCGAAAAGCAACAGGCGGCUGCACCUUACCUUGCGCCAGUCCCGGGCCGGGGAGGCUGCUCCAUCCUCGUGGUUCAGGGAGGCGGCGUUGGGCAAAUUCCACCUCAAAAUCCUUGAACUUUGGCUGGGUGCAGUGGCUCACACCUGUAAUCCUAACACUUUGGAAGGCCGAGACGGGAGGACUGCCUGAGCUCAGAAGUUGGAGACCAGCCAGGCCAACAUGGUGAAACCCUGUCUCUACCAAAAAAUACAAAAAAUUAGCUGGGCAUGGUGGCAGGCACCUGUAAUCUUAGUUACUCCGAAGGCUGAAAAACGAAAAUCACUUGAACUCUGGAGGCAGAGGUUGUGGUGAGCUGAGAUUGCACAAGUGCUGUCCAGCCUGGGUGAUGGAGUGAGACUCUGUAUCCAAAAAAAAAAAAAAAAAAAAAAUACCUGAACUGUAACUUCUGUCUUCUGAACAUGAAGAGACCGCUGUGCUCUGCUAUGUUUCCCCUUCUGACAUUGCAUUAUCAAAAAUUCAGUCGGGCAAAAAGCCAUAGUGACAAAUGGACUGAACUCUCUUACUUCUCUCCUCUUAAGGAUCACUUUCUUUUGUUUCUUGUUUUCAAAUGUUUGAGAACAGCCAUUUCAUUAUUUGUCCAGCCUUUUACUUAUCUGUAGUUAUUGGGCAAUGUAUUAAUUGGCAGCGCUGUCAUAACACAGUAGCGGAGACUGGUGACUUGAACAACACAAAUUGAUUUUCUCACAGUUCUGGAAGCAAAAAGGCCAAGAUCAAAGUUUGACAGAGUUGGCUUUUUUUGAAGCCUCUCUUCUUGAACGGUAGAUGACCACCUUCUCUCUGUGUACUUACACAGUUGUUUCUGUGUCUGUGUUCUAAUUUCCUCUUCUUGUAAUAUUGGAUUAAAGCCCAGUCUAAUGACAUCAUUUGAACUAGAUAACCUCUUUAAGACCUUAUCUGUAAAUACAGUUACAUUCUGAGCUAUUGGGGAUUUAUGUUUCAACAUAUGAAAUUAUUUUUGGGGGGAGCACAAUUUACUCAUAAUGAACAGUCCAGUAAUGAUUAUGCUUUCAUACCAGCAACAGAAUUUUUGAAAGCUUGCUAUUUGCCAGUCAUUUUAUAAACAUGUUGCAGACUUUAACUCAAUUAAUUCUCCUAAUGUCCCUGUCACAUAGACAUUAUACACUCUAUUUUAGAUCUAAGGACACUAAGCUUCAAGAGUUAAGUAAUUUGCCUAAGGUGCUGUAGCUAAUAAGCAGAAGAGUCUGGAUUUGAAUCUAAGUAUUACUCCAAGGCCCUGGUUCUUAACCACUAUGCUUUGCUUUCUUUUAGGGCACACAUGAAAGGCAAAACUAAUGUCUCUAGAUUAUAUUCUUGGACCUGUGGGCAGAUAUUCCUAAAAUGCCUAGCCUUGAAGCUUAACGGCAUACAGAGUUUUACUUCUUAGCAACUCACAAAUUUUCCCAUGUCAGAAAACAGAAAAAUACUAGAGUAUAAUUCAUUACUCAUAUGAAAUAAACAUCUUUCAUUUUGUCUCUCUCA
rnacentral:lncRNA from 13 species